AACGAACGCUGGCGGCAUGCCUAACACAUGCAAGUCGAACGAGACCUUCGGGUCUAGUGGCGCACGGGUGCGUAACGCGGGGGAACCUGCCCUUAGGUUCGCAAUAACUCCCCGAAAGGGGUGCUAAUACCGGAUAAUGUCUUCGGACCAAAGAUUUAUCGCCUUUGGAUGGGCCCGCGUUGGAUUAGCUAGUUGGUAGGGUAAAAGCCUACCAAGGCGACGAUCCAUAGCUGGUCUGAGAGGAUGAUCAGCCACACUGGGACUGAGACACGGCCCAGACUCCUACGGGAGGCAGCAGUGGGGAAUAUUGGACAAUGGGCGAAAGCCUGAUCCAGCAAUGCCGCGUGAGUGAUGAAGGCCUUAGGGUUGUAAAGCUCUUUUACACGGGAUGAUAAUGACAGUACCGGGAGAAUAAGCUCCGGCUAACUCCGUG
rnacentral:rRNA from 1 species